GAUGAACGCUGGCGGCGUGCCUAAUACAUGCAAGUCGAGCGAACGGACGAGAAGCUUGCUUCUCUGAUGUUAGCGGCGGACGGGUGAGUAACACGUGGAUAACCUACCUAUAAGACUGGGAUAACUUCGGGAAACCGUAUCUAAUACCGGAUAAUAUUUUGAACCGCAUGGUUCAAAAGUGAAAGACGGUCUUGCUGUCACUUAUAGAUUGAUCCGCGCUGCAUUAGCUAGUUGGUAAGGUAACGGCUUACCAAGGCAACGAUGCAUAGCCGACCUGAGAGGGUGAUCGGCCACACUGGAACUGAGACACGGUCCAGACUCCUACGGGAGGCAGCAGUAGGGAAUAUUCCGCAAUGGGCGAAAGCCUGACGGAGCAACGCCGCGUGAGUGAUGAAGGUCUUCGGAUCGUAAAACUCUGUUAUUAGGGAAGAACAUAUGUGUAAGUAACUGUGCACAUCUUGACGGUACCUAAUCAGAAAGCCACGGCUAACUACGUG
rnacentral:rRNA from 1 species